rnacentral:lncRNA from 1 species
GGUGGCCGGUUUCUUUAAAUCUCAUAGAGUGUAGGGGUGACCGGCGCCGUCCCUGGUGGCGGAGCCACGACAGAUUAAAAGGCAUUGGCCUCACGCACUUAACAUAGAUUCUGAUUCCUGUUGGUAAGGGCUUUUGAUUGCUUGGCUGUGAUCUAUAUGUGAGCCUCCUGGUAUUUUGCUACAAUUUUGUUGGUUGGCUGUGGUAAUGGGUUCUGCCGCAAGGCUAUGAUGAUCUCAAAAGUCUUUUUUGGUGAUGAUGGUGUGGCAAUGAUGGUGGAUGGUAGGUUUUGACCUGCAACCCACCUUGCAGGCAUGAUUUCCGGUAGAUCUGAGCCACGUAGUUUUGAUGUACUUUUUUUAAACGUGCUUCAACAUGGGUACAAGUGAAGUGGCUAUAACCACAUUGAAGCAGCUGUGGACAAAGAAG